rnacentral:rRNA from 1 species
GACGUAGUAUGCAAGCGUUGUCCGGAAUUACUGGGCGUAAAGUGUGCGCAGGCGGCGUUGCAAGUCGAGUGUGAAAUCCCCGAGCUUAACUUGGGAAUUGCGCUCGAAACUACGAUGCUCGAGUGUGGCAGAGGAAGGUGGAAUUCCACGUGUAGCGGUGAAAUGCGUAGAGAUGUGGAGGAACACCGAUGGCGAAGGCAGCCUUCUGGGCCAACACUGACGCUCAUGCACGAAAGCGUGGGGAGCAAACAGG